rnacentral:misc_RNA from 1 species
AAAAAAAAAAAAAAAACCAAGUUGUUGAGAUUGCCACCUGCAAAACAAUCACAAUCUCAUCUCAAAUUAGCCACAAAAUAUCUUUCAACAAUAAAAAAUUCAAUGUUUUAUUACUUAAAAAAAAUUAUACAAUGCAAGCAAUAACAUUGGACAUGAAAAUGUUGUGUUGGGUAAAAUUCCAUUAAGAAAGAUGAAGCGUAAAAUGAGAAAACCGUGAAGUUCUGACGAACAUAAUGUAUUCUGAUGAUAUUGAGGCUUUUAAUUCUAGUGGUGGUGAGGUAGAAUCAUAAUGCAAGAGAACGGAUGGGUGGCGUCAAAUUGGAAGGCAGAGAUUGCAAAGGCAGCGAUGGGAAACAAAUUGGAGAGAGGAGUAGGAGGUGCAAUUGGGAUUAGAGUGGUGCAAUUGGGAUUAGAGAGCAGUUAACAUUUUGGUGUCGACUCCAAGCUCUCCACCAUUCUCAAACUUUGCAAAAUCCCAUUCUCAAUAAAAAAAAUACUCAAAAUUUGUUUGAAUUAAACCUCAAUCAAACUCUUAAAAAACCCAUUCUCAAACUGAAGCUCUAGCAUUUGGUGAGGGGUGUCCCAAGCUUGGCAUUACUGAUUUUUGACUCACUCAAGCUCCAACAUUUGCAGUCACUAUUCCUCCUUUCAUCUUCUCCAAUUUUCACAUCUUACUCUGCUUGGACAACGCACGGGAUGCAGUUGCCUUGGUCCAUUUAGACUCGAUCAAUCUUAUCAUCGGCAAUGACAUCUUCAAUGAUUUAAUUUAUGCUUCACAGCUUCCUCCUUUCAUUGACACUCGUGUCACCAAGUUCAUCGAUGCAUCCUAUCUCACUUACCACACUAGAUUCAUCUUUUUAAGAGGUCCUAUAGAGGCACUUAGGGAGAGGUGACUUGGCAAGUCCUAGGGAGGCCAAUGAAGGGUGUUUUAAAAGAUUUUUAGAAGGAGAAGAUGGACAGGAGUGGGGUGAGCAGCGAUAGAGGCAAUGGGGAAGAAAGAGGAGAAUAAAGAGGGACGUCAAGAAUGAAGGUAAGGAAGAUAGGUAAGU